rnacentral:rRNA from 1 species
GACGAACGCUGGCGGCGUGCUUAACACAUGCAAGUCGAACGGUGAAGCGCCUUCCUUUUUGGUGGGUGUGGAUGAGUGGCGAACGGGUGAGUAACACGUGAGUAACCUGCCCCCUUCUUCUGGAUAACCGCAUGAAAGUGUGGCUAAUACGGGAUAUUCUGGGUCUGUCGCAUGAUGGGUCUGGGAAAGAUAUUGUUUCGGUGGGGGAUGGGCUCGCGGCCUAUCAGCUUGUUGGUGGGGUGAUGGCCUACCGAGGCGGUGACGGGUAGCCGGCCUGAGAGGGUGGACGGUCACACUGGGACUGAGACACGGCCCAGACUCCUACGGGAGGCAGCAGUGGGGAAUAGUGCACAAUGGGCGCAAGCCUGAUGCAGCGACGCCGCGUGAGGGAUGGAGGCCUUCGGGUUGUGAACCUCUUUCGCCAGUGAAGCAGGCCUGCCUCGUUUGUGGGUGGGUUGACGGUAGCUGGAUAAGAAGCGCCGGCUAACUACGUG